AUCAAAGUAUCCACCAGGAGCAUGCCCAAUUAAAAGUAAUUAUACUUGAGAAGCCCAAAGCCAUGACUUCCCCCUAGCUAGAUUAGUUCACAGAUGCACUCAAUCCAAAGGAAAUUUCUUAAUCGGGGUUAUUUAUGCAGAAGUCAUGUGACCUGGGACACAACUGACUUCCCUUUGAUAGCAAGUCUCAAGAAGCAGAAAGCUUAAUAUAAGGAUGAACUUCUUCGCAGAGAAUGGGUUUCAAUAGAUACUCUUCCACUUUCUUGCUCCUCUCUACCAAGAUGGAGCUUUAAAAGAGUAGAGGUCUAAGAAGAGCCCAGUCUCUGAGCUUUGUGGAAAGGCUUCUGAGACAUAGUAGUCAUUUCACUAAGCCAGUGGUCUGGCAUUCACUUCUUUGAUUGACAGAUAUUUCUUCAGAGGAUUUACCUCUGGAAGCAUUGCAAAAAACAACAACUUCCUGGAAAGAGGUGUGUGUAGUUAACCUGGAAUGAUACAGUGAGUCUCCAAUUGCAAAGUGUCUAGAAAGAGCCCUGGGCCCAAGACGUUACCAGGAUGCUUAUGGAAGAAAUGAGCCAUGAAUCCUAUUCAAUGGUGUGUCCUUCCAUGCAUUAUGCAAAUUCCAAAGGUACUUUAAGCUCAUUUUACCUCAACGACACAACGUUGCCACAAGGAUCAAAUGCAGUAGCUCUUCACUCCCUGCUUUAUAAAUGAGAAAACUUUAUAAAUGUCUGUAGAGUUUAAGUAAAUCUGACAGAAUGCCCCACAAUAAAACAGCAAGGUUUUCUGUAAACCAAGGUAAGGUACCUCUGCUUUCAUAGCAGACUGCGUCCUCCUGGACUGAGAGAUUCUUGAUCUCUUUCUUAGGAUAUUUAAGCCAUCUUCCAGGAGUUCUGCAGGCAAAUGGAAGACAUACCACGGGAAGAAAAGUUAAUGCAAAAAUAACCACAAAUAGCCAUGCUUUCAGCUAGUUCCCAGUAGGUCACAGACAUCACAGUGAUUGAGGAAACAGCCAUAAAUAAAUAAAUUAAAUUAAAGCCAUUUGAUUUUCAGAUCAAAUGUAUUCUGAAACUAUUUUGUAGUGAUCUUUUUUUCCCCUAGAAUAUUUUGAGAGGAAAGAGGAUUCCCAUGGAUGAGAGCUGCCGUACUAGCCAUCUUAUUCUAUAAUACCUCAGGUCAUUAACUUGCUAACUGAACAUCAAAGUGUGGCCGAGGAUUCACUAUUUGUCCCUCAUAAAAUUAUUGAGAAAUUCCUGAGUCCCAUCACCUACAUGUUGAUCGCAUGAAUGACCAUCAACUUUUAAACAUCUUUUCAUCUCUCUAACAGAAAAAAGUAGAACCACUUAUUUAGGGGAUCCCUUAGAACCAAGAUAGUUUUUUUUUUCACUUCAAUGCCCCUUUCUUCCUAAAACUCAGGGAUAGUCUAGACAUCCAAAAAAACAGUAGUAUCAGGAAUAGAAUCUGUUGAGGGGAUGGAUAAAACAGUGUGGGUGUUUCAACACAAAUUUCUUCCCACAGUUCAUCAACUCAGGAUCCAGCAGUAUAACUCAGGGUAUUUCUUCAGUAUUUCAGGUAUGUGGGAAAGCUGGACAUAACCCCAAAGACAGAAAUGUUUUAUGACAUAAAGAAGAAGAGCUAUUGAUGAUUCUGAGACUUGGAAGGGGGAGUGAGAAAGCUUCUUCCAAAUGCUCAGAAAAAAAAAAAUCACUGAAUUUUUCUAAAAACACACCUCAGUGUGUCUUUUUUGGGGGGUGGGAAAAGGAGUGCUUAAUGGGCAAAUAAGGAGACAGAUGUGACAGUUUCCAUGGAAUGAAUCCCUACGUGGCUUCUAAGCAUCUAAAGGGGGGUAUUAAUCUCCAAACAAAGCUCUUGAAGCUGAGAAAGAAAGUUAUGGAAGUUUGAAGGUAUUUAGUCAGUGCCUUAGGCGGGUUUCUAUUGCUGUGAUGAAACAUCAUGACUAAAAGCAGCAUGGAGAGGAAAGGGUUUAUUUCAUCUUAUACUCUUUAGGACACACUCUAUCAGUGGAAGAACUCAAGACAAGAAGCUAGAGGCAGGAACUGAAGCAGAGACCAUGGAGGAAUGCUGCUAACUGGCUUGUCUCUUGUGAUUUUCUCAGCCCACUUCCUUAUACAACCCAGGACCACCUGCUCAGGGGUGGCACUACCUGUCCUUAAGUGAUCUGGUCCUACCCACAUCAAUCAUUAAUCCAGAGACUUGCCUACAGAAAAUGUGACAAAAGCAUAUUUUUCACUUGAGAUUCUUUCCCCCAGAUAAUUCUAGCUGGUGUCAAGUUGACAAAGAAAAGUGGGGAGGGGAGAGGACAUGACAUAUGACUGUUAAUAAAGAGGGUGAGAAAAAAUAACCCAUGGAAAGAGAACUAUCAUCUGUGGGUCUAUAGAACAUCAUCAGAAUACAAAAGAAGAAGGAGAAGAAGAGGAAGAAGAAGAAGAAGAAGGAGAAGUAGAAAGAAGGAGAAGGAGAAGAAGAAGAAAAAGAAGAAGAAGAAGAAGAAGAAGAAGAAGAAGAAG
rnacentral:lncRNA from 1 species